CUGCCAGUAGUCAUAUGCUUGUCUCAAAGAUUAAGCCAUGCAUGUCUCAGUACAAGCCAAAUUAAGGUGAACCGCGAAAGGCUCAUUAAAUCAGUUAUGGUUCCUUAGAUCGUACCCACAAUUACUUGGAUAACUGUGGUAAUUCUAGAGCUAAUACAUGCAAACAGAGCUCCGACCGGAGACGGAAGGAGUGCUUUUAUUAGAUCAAAACCAAUCGGUGGCGAGCUUGCUCGUCAUCGUACAACUUGGUGACACUGAAUAACUUUAGGCUGAUCGCACGGUCUUGCACCGGCGACGCAUCUUUCAAAUGUCUGCCUUAUCAACUGUCGAUGGUAGGUUCUGCGCCUACCAUGGUUGUAACGGGUAACGGGGAAUCAGGGUUCGAUUCCGGAGAGGGAGCCUGAGAAACGGCUACCACAUCCAAGGAAGGCAGCAGGCGCGCAAAUUACCCACUCCCGGCACGGGGAGGUAGUGACGAAAAAUAACGAUACGGGACUCAUCCGAGGCCCCGUAAUCGGAAUGAGUACACUCUAAACCCUUUAACGAGGAUCAAUUGGAGGGCAAGUGUGGUGCCAGCAGCCGCGGUAAUUCCAGCUCCAAUAGCGUAUAUUAA
rnacentral:rRNA from 1 species